rnacentral:siRNA from 1 species
AGUGAAGACAAUAAUGCUCAACUA